GCCUCGGUAGAUCAGUGGCUAGAGUACCUGUCCUGAGAUCGUGGUGUCUUGGGUUCCAUUCCCACUCGGGGUA